rnacentral:rRNA from 1 species
AUUGAACGCUGGCGGAAUGCUUUACACAUGCAAGUCGAACGGCAGCACGGACUUCGGUCUGGUGGCGAGUGGCGAACGGGUGAGUAAUGUAUCGGAACGUGCCCAGCCGUGGGGGAUAACGUAGUGAAAAUUACGCUAAUACCGCAUACGAUCUAUGGAUGAAAGCGGGGGAUCGCAAGACCUCGCGCGAUUGGAGCGUCCGAUAUCAGAUUAGGUAGUUGGUGGGGUAAAGGCCGACCAAGCCAACGAUCUGUAGCUGGUCUGAGAGGACGAACAGCCACACUUGAGCUGAGACACGGUCCAGACUCCUACGGGAGGCAGCAGUGGUGAAUUUUGGACAAUGGGCGAAAGCCUGAUCCAGCCAUUCCGCGUGCAGGAUGAAGGCCCUCGGGUUGUAAACUGCUUUUGUACAGAACGAAAAGGUUUCUACUAAUACUAGGAGCUCAUGACGGUACUGUAAGAAUAAGCACCGGCUAACUACGUGCCAGCCGCCGCCGUAA